GAUGAAGAACGUAGCGAAAUGCGAUAAGUAAUGUGAAUUGCAGAAUUCAGUGAAUCAUCGAAUUUUUGAACGCACAUUGCGCCCGCCAGUAUUCUGGCGGGCAUGCCUGUUCGAGCGUCAUUUCAACCAUCAAGCCCUGCUUGCGUUGGGGUCCUGCGGCUGCCCGCAGGCCCUGAAAACCAGUGGCGGGCUCGCUAGUCACACCGAGCGCAGUAAUACAUCUCGCUUUGGGCGUGCGGCGGGUUCUUGCCGUUAAACACCCCCUUUUUACCAAGGUUGACCUCGGAUCAGGUAGGAAUACCCGCUGAACUUAAGCAUAUCAAUAAGCGGAGGA
rnacentral:misc_RNA from 1 species